AAAAGGAAAAGGGGGUUGGGCUGAUGAAGGUACAACGCGUGUGCUGGAGGAGGGGGAGUAGGAAAAAACGGUUCUUCUAAAAAAAAGAACAAGGCAUUUGGGUGUGGCAGAGAACGUGGUGGAUUGCGGAUUGGCAGAGACAGUUUUGGGAUUUUGGCAGAGAAUUCGGUUACUAAAAACGGAGAAAUUCAUUCAUUACUUCCAUCACCUUCACCAUAAUCAUCACUCCUCCAACGCUAACCACCAGGCACCUCUCACAUUACUUAUUAAGCAUUCCUCCAUUCCUCCCUUAUCAUCAAUCAAUCUUUGAUUCCUCCCUUCCAUUUGAUUCGAUGCACUAAAAACCAGAGUAUCCACCAUUUUCCCCAACCUCAUCAACUCAACAGAAUCAUCAUCCCUGCCACAAUCACCCAUCACACACACGACAUUCCCUUUUGACUAACAACUCCUAUUUCCCCUCACCCAUAACCAUCACUCACCGGAAAAGCAAAAAGGUUCCUCCAUUCUCUGUAAAUACCAUCAAUUCUUAUUCACCAAUCACCAUAACCAUAUUCAAAAACACAGACCACGCCCCUAUCUUUCGAGCACGAAUUCUUCUCCAAAAAUCCCUUUUAUCCAUCAUGAUUCUAACAAGCAGAAGGAGGAGAUAGUUUCAUCUCUCCCGGUUACCCCAUUCUCUGUUAGCGAAAAUUAUCCUCACCCUCAACCUGCAAUGAACCAAAUGAAAAAAAAGAAACCACCAAAAACAGAGAACCCAUUUUCAACUCCAUAAACCCCAACCAUCUCCAUUCGCGGUCUCCCCCACCGUCAGCACCCUUCCACCACCUUCAUCCUCAUCAAAUCUCCAACCAACUUCAAUUUCUAUAUUCACUCUUCAUUAUCCCCCAACGCCAUCUUCCCUCACACUCAAACUCUCUCACCCUCUGUGUAUGCAUCCAACCCAAUCAAAGCAAAGCAGGGAAGAAGCCACUCGCCUCCAGCACCGUCUAGCAUUCACCUGCAACACACAGCACAGCCAUUCCCAAAAGAAAAAAUACAAGUGCAUCGGCGUCGCUAAGCAAUGCGACUAGCAGAAGAGGGUGAGCCGCCGCGAAGGGCGACGACGUUGAUGGCCUGGAUGAUGAUGUUGCUGACAGUUCAGGUGAUGACCGGCGACGCUGGUGAGGCCUUGGCUUGCGACUCCCAAUGGUCAAGCUCUUCCAAGAGGCGAUUCACGAAGGAGAGACUAAGGGAGUGGCGCCUCCGAUUAGACAGUGGCGGCGGCACGAUGGUGACGAAGGGGCCUCGACGGGGAUGACGACCUCAACUUGGUGGCUCCGGCAACGAGCAUCGUUGCUGACAACGUUGUGGACGGUGGUUGAUGGUGGUCGGUUGGUUGAAGAAGGGUGUUUCUAGAUUCGUCUCUGGAGGAGGAGACUCCAGGUCUCUGAAGCAGUGCUUGGCAUAAUGAGGGGAAAACUUUGGAGCCCCUAGUGUUUCUGAUUUUAGGGCAAAGAGGGCCUUGGGCCUAGCGGGUGGCUGGAGUUUCUUCCCUGUACCCUUCGUUUGUUAUUCACACCACCUUUCCCUUUCUGCAAACAAAAAGAAGAUUGGGCCUGGACAGAUCAUUCCAUGCUACACCCCUGCCUUGCACCCCUGGCUGAUUCUAAGUCUAAACGAAAAGGGCUUUGGGCUCAAAGAGCCUCAAUUUUAUUCAACACCCCUGGUUUUAAUCUCUGCACCCUAUUCUCAUUGGGCCUGGACUAUGAUGUUUGUUUUAUUGUCUUUGUUUUUUUAUUUCUUUAGCUUUAGCAUUUGUUUUAUUAUUGUGUGUUGUUAUAUCCAUUUGCUAAUAAAAAUAAA
rnacentral:lncRNA from 1 species